AGUUGUAUGGCCGAGUGGUCUAAGGCGGUAGAUUCAAGAUCUAUUAGAUUUUUCUUCAUGGGUUCGAAUUAUUGCAUCCCAUUGCAACUA
rnacentral:tRNA from 1 species